AGUACUCCUUUUCUUUUUGCGAAUACAGACUAACACGGCUGUUACAAGGAGUACAGUGUGGACACACAACAGCCGUUUAAUUCCAGCGUUUUAAUAAAAGUGAUAUAACUUGUGGCUCAGAAACUUGCCAGUGUAGACAUACCCUUAUACUCUAAAAAUGUUCUAGCUUUUACUCUGUAAUCUAAGAGCAAUUAUGAUGGCUUCCCAGGCAAUCACACGAAUGCAAAAUUAUGACAGUAAAAAGAGUUACAUUAAACAUAUAUUUUUGGCUUGGUGGACAGAACUGCACUAAGAUAUUGGACAGAAACAACAAGGUGUCAAUUCCAGGAGAGGCAAAGCUGCUUUUGUAAUGAGUCAGCCACUCCCAGUCUCUGUUCAGGCCCAAAUUAAUGGUGUUAAAUUUGCAAAUGAAUUUUAGUUCUGCUGUUUCUCUUUGAAGUCUGGAAUUUUAGUUCUCCUGUUUCUCUUUGAAGUCCUGGAAUUGAUACCUCCUCAUUUGUUAUUGGGAGUGGACUACAUCCACCCUGAUCGAAUUGGCCCUGUCAACACUGGUUCUCCACUUGUGAGACUAACACGGCUACCCCCUGAUACUUAAGAUAUUGGAACAAUCCUGAUCUGAAACAACCCGUUCUGUCUCUUUUGUUUCCAAUGACCCAACUAUGAUUCUUUGGGAGCAACUCAGGAUCAAGCCUGUUAUGGACAUGAAGUCUGAACUCUCCUCCUACUCCUACAGAUCCUUCCAUUAAAGACUGAGGCAUGUGAGAAGGAAAGGAUGGA